rnacentral:rRNA from 1 species
UACGUAGGGUGCAAGCGUUGUCCGGAAUUAUUGGGCGUAAAGAGCUCGUAGGCGGUUUGUCGCGUCUGCUGUGAAAACUCAGGGCUUAACCCUGAGCCUGCAGUGGGUACGGGCAGACUAGAGCGUGGUAGGGGAGAUCGGAAUUCCUGGUGUAGCGGUGGAAUGCGCAGAUAUCAGGAGGAACACCGGUGGCGAAGGCGGAUCUCUGGGCCAUAACUGACGCUGAGGAGCGAAAGCAUGGGGAGCGAACAGGA